CAGCUUCCUUAUCACCCGCUUCAGGUGGUGGCUGUUGCUGUGUUCUUGGCUCUAGGGUUUGCCUUCUAUGUGUUCUUUGCACCCUUUGUUGGGAAGAAGAUGUAUCAGUACAUCGCUAUGGGCAUUUACACUCCUCUGAUCGCAUGUGUCUUUAGCCUAUAUAUAUGGUGUGCGGCUGCGGAUCCCGCUGACCCGGGAGUUUUCCUGUCAAAGAAGUACCUAAAAGUUCUCGAAAACGGGAAGUUUCCUCGGGCAAAGGAGAUGAAAAAUGGCUAUGGAUCAACUUCAUCCCGAAUGCACAACGGAGGUACAGCUAUAGGU